UUAAUGCCACCGUCCCGUAUUACAUGUCGCUUUGACUUUUACUUAUAACGUUUGAUCAUUCGUUUUAUUUGAAAAAUUAGGGCAAAUAUAAAAAAUGAUAAGUUAUAUUUAAAGUAUUUUUGAUAAUAAAAAAGUCAAACAAAAUAGAUAAUAAUUCCAAAUUUUUUGAAUAAGACGAAUGGACAAACAUUAAAAAAAACUCAAAGCAACAAGUAAUAUGGGAUGGAGGU
rnacentral:misc_RNA from 1 species